GGGGGGGGGGGGGUCAACAUAGCUGAAAGUUUUGUUAAUCUAAAAUCAAUUUUACAUAUAUCCAUAUAGGUAAAUCAAUUUUUCCCAAAUUAAGUUAAGAAGGGGGGUAGGGGGGUCAGCGAAAAAAAUAUGUGAAUUAAGUUUUUUAUCCUAUAUUGAACUUUUGAUGUCGUCCCUACAGAACGGCAUAAACAAAACUAUAUGAAUUAAGUUUUUUAUCCUACAUUGAACUUUUGAUGUCGUCCCUACGGAACGGCAUAAACAAAACUAUAUGAAUUAAGUUUUUUAUCCUACAUUGAACUUUUGAUGUCGUCCCUAA
rnacentral:lncRNA from 1 species